CGAACGCUGGCGGCGUGCCUAAUACAUGCAAGUCGAGCGGACCUCUUCGGAGGUCAGCGGCGGACGGGUGAGUAACACGUGGGCAACCUGCCUGUAAGACUGGGAUAACUCCGGGAAACCGGAGCUAAUACCGGAUACUAUGUCAAACCGCAUGGUUUGACAUUCAAAGACGGUUUCGGCUGUCACUUACAGAUGGGCCCGCGGCGCAUUAGCUAGUUGGUGAGGUAAUGGCUCACCAAGGCGACGAUGCGUAGCCGACCUGAGAGGGUGAUCGGCCACACUGGGACUGAGACACGGCCCAGACUCCUACGGGAGGCAGCAGUAGGGAAUCUUCCGCAAUGGACGAAAGUCUGACGGAGCAACGCCGCGUGAGUGAUGAAGGUUUUCGGAUCGUAAAACUCUGUUGUCAGGGAAGAACAAGUGCCGGAGUAACUGCCGGCACCUUGACGGUACCUGACCAGAAAGCCACGGCUAACUACGUGCCAGCAGCCGCGGUAAUACGUAGGUGGCAAGCGUUGUCCGGAAUUAUUGGGCGUAAAGCGCGCGCAGGCGGUUUCUUAAGUCUGAUGUGAAAGCCCCCGGCUCAACCGGGGAGGGUCAUUGGAAACUGGGAAACUUGAGUGCAGAAGAGGAGAGUGGAAUUCCACGUGUAGCGGUGAAAUGCGUAGAGAUGUGGAGGAACACCAGU
rnacentral:rRNA from 2 species